AGACAAGGGCGGAUGGAUUCUUGCCGUGAAUCUGUGCCAGACUUAUUGCAGUUGAGAAGGCCAACUAGUCGAGGUGCCGCAGUCGACUAGAGUUAUUGGUUUGGCUUCUUCAGCAAACUCCCUCCGUUCCUCUAUGUAGUGCGCAGAACUUUUUUGCCCAUAUUCCAAUAUGUAGUGCGUAUUAGCUACUUUGGGCGCUUUUGGACCGAACUAGCCCCGCAGCAACACUCCCGCACGCAACGCUAGCCUUUAUCCCCUUCCUCCGGUUCCAACUCCACGGCGGCGGAGAUUUCAGGAGAUGGAGGCCGGCGUCUCCGGCAUCUCCGCAUCCGCCUCCAGCGUCGCUUUGUCCACGGCCGGCGCAUCCGGUGUCGUCGCUUUCGUAUCCGGCGUCGUCGCGUCCGUAUCCGACGCCUUCGCUUCCACGGCCGAACUCCGGCGUCAUCGCAUCUGCUGCUGGUGUCUCCGCCUCCGCAUACGGCGUCGUCGCGUUCACAUCCGGUGCCUCCGCGUCCACGGCCGGCCUCCGGCGUUGUCGCAUCUGCUGCUGGUGUCUCCGUUGCCACUGUGCCCCUGGAGGCCUGGACUGCAUCCCGGAGAAUGAGCUCCAGCACGAGCCCACGGACGCCGGGGAGCAGGGCCACCAGCUGCUGGAGCUCGGCGCGCGUGUGGAGCUCGUCCACCAGCCGCCAACGCACCCAGCAGUCGUGCCUCGAGUUUCGUCAGCAGCGCGCGUGGCCGUCCCCGGCACCCUGCCGUCGCGCGGCCACAGCUGUGCAUGGCUUCCUCGGCCAGCUUCCCCACGUCCAUGCCUGAUCUUCAAAUGAUGGGGCUGAUCUUCAAAUGAUGGGGCUGACUGUAGGAUCUUUGUGAUCUCCAAGUGGUUGCUGGAGAUAAGCUCCGACAGCUAACCCAGGCCUAGAGGAUAUUGGCCGGAAAAAAAAAAUGAAACUUCGCCAGCUACUUCGCCCCUGGCUCCGCCUGCAAUCAUGUCAAGUUCUGAUCAUCAAGACAUGCAGAGAGCUAUGCAAUGUCCUAACCCCAUUGAAAUCUGAUCAAUCAACGAUCCAUUGAACGAAGGUAGCUACACCGGGCCUGUUUGUUUCGGUUUUCAUCCGGUUUUUCGUUAAUUAACCAGACAAUUCUAUUCUUCUUAAUUAAUCGAUUAGACAAAUCUUUUAUCUCUGUUUAAAGAAAUAUGCCAUUGACGAACAGGAAAGGUUGUAAAAAUACGUUGUAAAUUACAUAGAAACCUGUAUCAUGGAGUUCCCCUUAUUACUGUUGUUUUGGAUUUGUGCACAUACACUAUUCUAUACUGUUCAUUCGAUGAAGUUGAGAUACUAUUACUGGGUUGGUCACCUUGACAGCGCUCUAUUAUCUAUGUAUAUACUCCCUUUGAUUCUUUUUACUCCGCAUGUAAGAGUUGUCUUAAGUCAAAUUUUGUAAAAGUUGACAAAGUUUGUAUGAAAAAAUAUCAACAUUCACAAUACUAAAUUAAUAUCUUUAGAUGCAUCAUAUGGGAUUAAUUUGCAUAUUAUA